CAAAUUAGAGCUUAGUAAGCAUUUUAUUUACAUUAAAAAGUUAAUUGUUAAAAUCAAUUUAGUUUGA
rnacentral:tRNA from 1 species